rnacentral:rRNA from 1 species
UUGAGCGGAGAUUAUGGAGCUUGCUUUAUAUAACUUAGCAGCGAACGGGUGAGUAACACGUAGAUAAUCUAUCCUAUACUGGGGGAUAGCCCGAUGAAAGUUGGAUUAAUACCGCAUAUAGCUAUAUAGUUGCAUGAUUAUGUAGUGAAAGAUUUAUUGGUAUAGGAGGAGUAUGCGGCACAUUAGCUAGUAGGUGAGGUAAAGGCUUACCUAGGCGACGAUGUGUAGCCGGUCUGAGAGGAUGAACGGCCACAAUGGAACUGAGACACGGUCCAUACUCCUACGGGAGGCAGCAGUGGGGAAUAUUGCACAAUGGGGGAAACCCUGAUGCAGCAACGCCGCGUGAGUGAAGAAGGUUUUCGGAUUGUAAAGCUCUGUUAGCAGGGAAGAGGAAGGACGGUACCUGCAGAGGAAGCCACGGCUAACUACGUGCCAGCAGCCGCGGUAAUACGUAGGUGGCAAGCGUUGUUCGGAAUAACUGGGCGUAAAGGAUGCGUAGGCGGCUAAACAAGUUAUAUGUUAAAUAUAUAGGCUUAACCUGUAGAAAGCAUAUAAAACUGUUUAACUAGAGUGCAGGAGAGGUAAGUGGAAUUCCUAGUGUAGCGGUGAAAUGCGUAGAGAUUAGGAAGAACACCAGUGGCGAAGGCGACUUACUGGACUGUAACUGACGCUGAGGCAUGAGAGCAUGGGGAGCAAACAGGAUUAGAUACCCUGGUAGUCCAUGCUGUAAACGAUGGGUACUAGGUGUGGGUUGUGAAUAACAAUUCGUGCCGUCGCAAACGCAAUAAGUACCCCGCCUGAGGA